GUGUCUUAUGAUGAAGCUUCAUAGGGCAGAUUCUGAGCUGAGAAACAAUUUCUCUCCACUGAUACUUGCUGUAUGCCAUCUGAAGACAC
rnacentral:snoRNA from 1 species